AUAGAGGUGCGAAUCCUCUAGGCCGAAUAUCCAAGGUUUCCAGGGUAAAGCUGAUCUGCCCUGGGUGAGUCGGGACCUAAGGUGAGGGCGAGAGCCGUAGCCGAUGGACAACAGGUUGAUAUUCCUGUACUGCAGUAUAACAGAACUGUGGGGACACGUAAGGAGAGCGGGAGCCGGGAAUGGAAAGCCCGGUACAAGCGAGGUACCAGUAUGGUAGGAAAAACCGCCAUGCAAUGGGAAGACGUGAUGUGGAGUGAAAUAUAGUAACGAAGCCCGUGAGCCAUGCGUCAAGAAAAGCCGCUAUUGUUUAUAUUGUACCCGUACCGUAAACCGACACAGGUGGAUGAGGAGAGAAUCCUAAGGCCGGCGGAAGAAGUAUUGCCAAGGAACUCGGCAAAAUGGCCCCGUAACUUAGGGAGAAGGGGUGCCUGCGAGAGCAGGCCGCAGAGAAUAGGCUCAAGCAACUGUUUAGCAAAAACACAGGUCUAUGCGAAACCGAAAGGUGAGGUAUAUGGGCUGACGCCUGCCCGGUGCUGGAAGGUUAAGAGGAGAGGUUAGACGCAAGUCGAAGCUUUGAAUUUAAGCCCCAGUAAACGGCGGCCGUAACUAUAACGGUCCUAAGGUAGCGAAAUUCCUUGUCGGGUAAGUUCCGACCCGCACGAAAGGCGUAAUGAUUUGAGCGCUGUCUCGGCAAUACAUCCGGUGAAAUUGAAGUGCCAGUGAAGAUGCUGGCUACCCGCGCCAGGACGGAAAGACCCCAUGGAGCUUUACUCCAGUUUGGCACUGGGGUCCGGUGUUGCAUGUACAGGAUAGGUGGGAGGCUGAGAAACGGUAACGUCAGUUGCCGCGGAGCCGCUGUUGGGAUACCACCCUUGUGAUAUUGGGCUUCUAACCAGCCGCCGUAAUCCGGCGGUGGGACAAUGCCAGGCGGGGAGUUUGACUGGGGCGGUCGCCUCCGAAAGGGUAUCGGAGGCGCCCAAAGGUUCCCUCAGAAUGGACGGAAACCAUUCGAAGAGUGCAAAGGCAGAAGGGAGCUUGACUGCGACACCGACGGGUGGAGCAGGUACGAAAGUAGGGCUUAGUGAUCCGGUGGUAUUAAGUGGGAAUGCCAUCGCUCAACGGAUAAAAGCUACCCUGGGGAUAACAGGCUUAUCACUCCCAAGAGUUCACAUCGACGGAGUGGUUUGGCACCUCGAUGUCGGCUCAUCGCAUCCUGGGGCUGUAG
rnacentral:rRNA from 1 species